rnacentral:rRNA from 1 species
UGGCCCAGAUCGUUUACCGUGAAAAAAUUAGAGUGUUCAAAGCAGGCAGAUCCAAUUUUCUGCCACCGAAUACAUUAGCAUGGGAUAAUGGAAUAGGACCCUGUCCUCCUAUUUUCAGUUGGUUUUGGCAGCGCGAGGACUAGGGUAAUGAUUAAUAGGGAUAGUUGGGGGCAUUAAUAUUUAAUUGUCAGAGGUGAAAUUCUUGGAUUUAUGAAAGAUUAACUUCUGCGAAAGCAUCUGCCAAGGAUGUUUUCAUUAAUCAAGAACGAAAGUUAGGGGAUCGAAGACGAUCAGAUACCGUCGUAGUCUUAACCAUAAACGAUGCCGACCAGCGAUUAGGAGACGUUGAAUACAAAACACCACCAUCGGCGCGGUCGUCC